GACGAACGCUGGCGGCGUGCUUAACACAUGCAAGUCGAACGGAAAGGCCCUGCUUUUGUGGGGUGCUCGAGUGGCGAACGGGUGAGUAACACGUGAGUAACCUGCCCUUGACUUUGGGAUAACUUCAGGAAACUGGGGCUCAUACCGGAUAGGAGCUCCUGCUGCAUGGUGGGGGUUGGAAAGUUUCGGCGGUUGGGGAUGGACUCGCGGCUUAUCAGCUUGUUGGUGGGGUAGUGGCUUACCAAGGCUUUGACGGGUAGCCGGCCUGGGAGGGUGACCGGCCACAUUGGGACUGAGAUACGGCCCAGACUCCUACGGGACGCAGCAGUGGAGAAUAUUGCACAAUGGGCGGAAGCCUGAUGCAGCAACGCCGCGUGCGGGAAGACGGCCUUCGGGUUGUAAACCGCUUUCGCCUGUGACGAAGCGUGAGUGACGGUAAUGGGUAAAGAAGCACCGGCUAACUACGUG
rnacentral:rRNA from 1 species